rnacentral:lncRNA from 1 species
CAGAACGGGACUUUCCUUGUCAGGCAGCAAGUCAUCUACCAACAGUUUCAUAACAGCAGCUAUUAGCUGGAUUGUGCUCCUUUUUCUUAGUCUUUUACCCCUUUAAGCUCAGCUGAUUUUGCUGCUCAGUGCAGGGGAGUCACAGGCAGAUGAACCUGUUGUUAAGAGCCCGGCUUCCAAUCUUGAAACCCUCUGUUCAUGCACCUACAUCUGCACUUAGACCUAAAAUUGGCACUUGACACCCACUGUAAGAGGGAAAGAGCAACUGGAGAGGAUUCUCCUGCAAGUUUUGUAUGCUGUGUUUGCUGACAGAUGGAUGAUGUCUUGAUUUUGAAACCCAAAGACCACAAACAACAUCUGAAAGGCCUUUUUCUCCCAUUAUAUGCAGCAAUCUCUUGACUUUGAAAAACACAUGCAAUCAGAGAGACAGUUGUCAGCAAACACCAGUUCAGGCAGCUCCCAGGGUACCUCUGGAGGAUCUUCUGUGGCUCUGAACUCAACACAACACCACACCCUUGGCAAUAACCCCUCUGAGGAGCCUGACACAGCCCAAGUGUGAGCAGAGACCACAGGAGACCCCAAGGCCUCAGGUCUCACCACUAACCCAUAAGGACCCAAAGCCAUCAGUCCCCCUCAAAUCUUGUUUCAUGAGUUUAUCUCCUGCAAACAGGGCAUUUGGCUCCUGGAGACUUCCUUCCCAAAACUCUUGCCUGUGAACAGACAAUAUAAAUUUUUUAUCUCUUUGUCCCAAGCUGAUGAUUUUUUUCUAAAAGCUCAGAGAACCUCCUUACUUAAUUAAAGGAUAUGCACCAACAUUCAGGACUUAAAAGACACCAUCCAACUCAUUUGGGGUUUUUCUUUAGCGGGUGUCAGGCAACAUGAAAACACAUUUCUCUUGAAAACCCAGGUGAAGAUGAGUUUAAUGGGAAUGCACCAAACCCUUUGCCUGGUGAAGGCUGGGCUGGUUCUAAAGCCUCUUCUCCACCAUCCCUUGGAGUUUCUGCUGGGGGGGUGAUGCUUACACGCCAUUCUUCAGAGGUGUUGCCUGCUCUCAAAUGAGAGUAUGAGGACCAUCACAUAACUGGUAUUAACCAGAUGUUCAAAGCAAGAUGCAGUAGCCUGGCUCAUGUCUCCUCUGCUUCCUUAGAGACAACACAGCUCAUCUGAGGAGAUGGGCAGUGGAUCCUGAGUAACCAGCAGGCAAGGCAACUGCCUUGAAACACCAUUCCUGAAGAUGCCUGAGACUGAAAGCUGACAGAGCAUUAAUUUAACUUUUGAAUCAAAAUGAAAGCAGCUUAUAAGAUUUUUUUUUUCCUACUCAAUUAUGCAAACAAGGU